rnacentral:rRNA from 1 species
AGUAACACGUGGGUAACCUGCCCGGAAGUGGGGAAUACCUCGGGGAAACUCGAGCUAAUACCGCAUAACAUCUUCGGGACGAAAGUCCUGGCGAUCAAAGCGGGGUCGCAAGAUCUCGCGCUACCGGAUGGGCUCGCGCCCGAUUAGCUAGUUGGUGAGGUAACGGCUCACCAAGGCUUCGAUCGGUAACCGGCCUGAGAGGGCGAUCGGUCACACCGGAACUGAGACACGGUCCGG